rfam:Triticum aestivum genome assembly, contig: Triticum_aestivum_CS42_TGACv1_scaffold_321757_4BL
AAACUACUCCCUCCGUUCCAAAUUAGUUGCCUUGAUUUAUCUAGAUACAGAUGUAUCUAACACUAAAAUGUGUCUGGAUAUAUCCGUAUCUAGAUAAAUCUGAGUCAAAUAAUUCGGGGCGGAUGGAGUAACUG